GAUGAACGCUCGCUACAGGCUUAACACAUGCAAGUCGAGGGGAAACGACAUCGAAAGCUUGCUUUUGAUGGGCGUCGACCGGCGCACGGGUGAGUAACGCGUAUCCAACCUGCCCAUCACUUGGGAAUAACCUUGCGAAAGUAAGACUAAUACCCAAUGACAUCCCACGAAGACAUCUGAAUGGGAUUAAAGAUUUAUCGGUGAUGGAUGGGGAUGCGUCUGAUUAGCUUGUUGGCGGGGUAACGGCCCACCAAGGCAACGAUCAGUAGGGGUUCUGAGAGGAAGGUCCCCCACAUUGGAACUGAGACACGGUCCAAACUCCUACGGGAGGCAGCAGUGAGGAAUAUUGGUCAAUGGGCGAGAGCCUGAACCAGCCAAGUAGCGUGCAGGAUGACGGCCCUAUGGGUGGUAAACUGCUUUUAUAAGGGAAUAAAGUGGGUCUCGUGAGACUUUUUGCAUGUACCUUAUGAAUAAGGACCGGCUAAUUCCGUG
rnacentral:rRNA from 1 species